GCUUUCAACAUCCCCGUUCGCCGCGCAUGGCGCAGCCAGGCCGGUAGAACUGAAGGC
rnacentral:sRNA from 1 species